rnacentral:piRNA from 1 species
UGUGCGAUCACUAGAAUACAU